CUCUCACACACACUCUCUCUCCAAACACUCUCUCUCUCCUCCUCUGCCUCUCUCUCUCCCUGUCUGUCUCUCCCUCCCUCGGCUUCACUCGCUCUUGUGCUGUAAGUUCAUUUGCUGUGUCAAGCAACAACUGGCUCGGGAGUGGGCAUUGGGUUUUGAUCCUUUUGUCAAGCGUCCCCUCUGCGAUGUGUACCGCAUCCACCUGCACACCACGGGACUGGCCGCCUGGCUCUCUCUAACGUUGCCGUACCGUCCUGGGUUUAUCACGAUUGGGCAUCCCACCUUGCUGAAACGGGUGGUACAAUGAGAUGCUGAAGGUUUGACGGGGUGAACCUGCUACUGUGGACUAUCACCAUCAUCAUCAGAAUCAUCACAGUGGCAAUGGGAGUCAGGACAUGGACACUCGCUGGAGGACCUCCGCAGGGUCCAUGCAUCCCAGACGAGCCGUUGAGAAGCCCUUGCCUUGCGCUACAAAGCGUCUUCAAUCAAUUGUUUUGAAAAGGCCUUUCCGUUUUCUGACGAUGCCGGCGGUUCUGUUGUUUCUCUCUGUAAAAGACUCUCUUCGGUGACGGGUAUUCUUGGGUGGAUAAUACGGCUCUCGUUGUUAUUGCUUAAGAAUACGCGUAGUCGAGGAGAGUCAUGUCGGCGGCGACUGCAAUGGACUAGAGAGAGCGUUGAAUCCAGAAGGCCCAUCUGCCUGCACACACACAUGCGUUUGCUAACGCCGAGGUUCACGCCCACAUCCAUUUAUUGAGUCAGCGAAGCUGCAUUUCCUGUCUGUGUGUGAUGCUUGUGCUGUUGAUUUAUCCGGCUACUCCUGCUACACAUCUUUUCAGCCAGCGGAAAGGAAAAACUGGGGGUUUUUUGAUUCGCCGUCUUCCCCCCAAAGGCUGUAUAUUGUAACGUCUCAGGCGGAGUUGUAGAUGCAAAUGUGUUCGGUUUGUGCCAUAUAUAUACAUUCUUUUCUCAGGACCGCACACACUCUACCUUUUUAAUGCAAAUUGAUUUUGAAAUGACAUUUAUCGUGCAGGGUUUCCAUAUGGAGCUCCAGGAGGGAUGCAAGGGGAAAAAAUGGAAUGAAAUGUCCACGAAGCCACUGAGAGCUAAAUUUAUGCGGAUUGUAAAGGAACACACUGCAGAUAAACAGUUACCAUGGCUUUAGAUUGACUGCGGCGUGGCAUGCGUAUAUCAUGAAUAUGUAUCAGGAGAGCAUAUGAUGCUGCAUUCUAACCUCCAUGAAAUCCAUUUAGGAAACCUAACAGGAUCUACUUGACUUAUGAAAGCUUAUGAUCAAAUCUUAUAAAUAUCCAUGAGAUAGUUUCAUGUGAAAAAAGUAUUUUUUUGCCUUUUAUAUAGAUGUAUUUUGCAUACUAAUAGAUUGCAUUUCGGACCGGCUGUUGAUGUGUUGACGUGGACGAUUUGUAAAUCUGCAAACAUUUUAAUUUGUUCUUCAUUAUCAUUCGGCAGAUUUAAUUGAUGUAUUAGCAUUUCAGAUAGACUAAAGGCAACAAUCAGCCCGCUCUGUCCUUGAUCACCCUGUAAUUAUCGUUCUUUCGGCUAUGUGUUUAAAUGAGCAGAGAGAAAAGAGGUGUGGAGGAGGAAUAAUGUAAUGUUUUACCACUAGGGGACCCACACAACUGAAAAUCAGAUCAGUUGGUUAACUUUUUAAGUCAUUUUUAUGAUCAUUUUUAAGGUGUUUGGGGUGCAUAGGUUCAAAACUAAUAGAAAUAUCUGUUUAGAUGAAUACUUUUAGAUUUAACAGGUUUUGGCUACUUAAAAAAAAUGUUGUUUUUUAUUCUUAGCAUGUACACUUAAAAUAUAUGGCGUUUUAUUUAUUCCUUUAUUACUUAAUGCUCAACAGUGCCUUAGGAGUGACAAAUGUGAGAAGGGUCACAUGCAACCUUAACAAUUAUCUGUUAUAUUGUAUUAGAUUAACACAUUAAUAUUUUUUUUCACUAAAUAUUCUACCCUCUCAUAGUUUGUGAUGUCUGAAGCAUAUUGAUAGAAUUUCUCUCUGAAAUCAUUUUUAUUGAUGCUGUUGAGUAAAUAUCUCGCUGUAAACUCCUCGCACAGAUUAGCUUCCAUCUGUCUGUGGUUUAUGACGAGAUGAAAUUAUUCAGGCCUCUGCAGCUCAUCUUCAUUUGUUCUUUAUUGAAAUUAUUUUUAUGUGCACGUCAUCUUUGUUCCUCCCCCUCAUAUCAUAAAUAAAGCUUGAUUUAAGUAAAAUUAUGAUGCAUUUGUAUAUUUUGUCCUUUUAUAGGCGAAGAAUCGGUUUUAAAUGUAGGUCAUAAAUAUGCAAGCAAAAAACAAAAAUACAUUACAAACGAUAUUAAAAUAUACACCACAUACAAACAAAUCAUGAACAAUUUAACAGUGUUGUUAUGCUUCAAAAACAUAAUGUUGAGAUUCAUUAGAUUUUCUCUGGGAUAUUAUUUUCUUUUUUUUGACACCAUUGAGCCCUCAUUUCUUGUUGUUGUCUGAUCUUGUGGCAUUCGAUAGCUUGCGUUUUAUGUAGCAAGACAAAAUGUAGUCCCAAACAACAGAACACAGACAAAAUAGAUGUCUUUCUGGUCAUCACCACAUUCUUUAGAAUAAGACUGAGAUGUUUUUGUGACAGGACACAGCGUCCAUAACUCUAUAUUCGGAUUAUUCAGCUGUAGGAUCAAUGUUUCUGUUUAUGUCCCUGUGCUGCUCUCAGAAUGUUGAAUUCACUUAGUCUCAAAAGCCCUUAUUUACAGGAACAUUUUCUCUGCAGUAACUUUAAUUAAUUCAAAAGGAUUUGAGAUAUUGACAAGAAGUGGAGCACGUUUGUCCCAUUUUGUCCCAUCAAAGGGAAGCUGAAGUAUGUAAGCUUUAUAAACAUUUAAGGUAUGAAUUAUUCAUUUAUUCACAUGACUACAAUCUACUGUUUACUCUUGAUUAAUUCAGUUUAUGGAGUAUGAGAAUUGUAUUUUCUUGCUUUGUAUAAUGAAUAUUCAUUCAACUAAUUAGUUUACCCUUUGUGGUUGUAUGGGUUGGUAUUUAAACCCAGCUCAAAGGGUUAUUUUUUAUAGGCUCAGCAUUUUUAAGUCUGCUCCUUUAUAAGAUUUCCCUCAUACAUGAUGUCAUGAUAUUCUAUAAUCCCCUGACUUCUCUCAAGACCAUAAUGCUUUUCACCAAAAAUAUGAUCAGUGGCAUUAGUCAACUGAAAUUGUGCUGUAUUAGCAUAUGUUUCCCUCAAUACAGGAAAUGGAAGUUAUUCGACAAGUCAAAAGUUUGGACACACUUGACUGAAUUGUGAUUAUUGUGGUUUUGAAAGCCUUUUGAAUAAUGUAUAUAUAAAUAUAUAUAUAUAUAUAUAUAAACAUGAUUAACAUGAAUUUACCAUUUUUUUAUGGUUAAACCGGGCCAUGGUGAAGAAAAAGUUGCCAAAAAGUGUCCAAUGUUGCUUGAAAAAGCAUGUGAAACUGAUUGACUAAAUGAAGGAUGAACUUUAAAUUCCUAUACAAGUUAAAAAUCAUUUUUCAAAGUUGUAAAUAAAAAUAGUGUACACAAUUCAGUGUACACUCUUAAAAUUUAAAGGUUCUUUAUUAGCAUUGACAGAUCCAUGAAGAACCUUUAAAAACCUUGGAACCUUAAUAUUGCACAUGAAACCUUUAUUUUUAUUAGUGCAUGUGUUAAUUUAGUCAUUGAUUACUAUUGUUCUAAAGUGUGGAAAAUAAUUUAAAAAUGAGUAGGUGUGUCCACAUUUUUGACUGGCGAUGUUGCUACAAUUUCAAAACAUUGUGACCUUUUAGCCUCACAACCUCUUAAACAGACAACUUUCCUACCUCUAAACCUCACCUCUCAGGCCUGUUGGGUUUCACAGCAUGUCCAUUUCUUAUGGAGAGCUGAUACAGGCCACUAAGCCUCAUUACAUUAAUUACAAUCCUGCUCUGUAUUCCUCCAUACGUGUGAGGCCGGUUAUCGCGUGUAUCGUUUCAAAGAAUAAUUUCAGGCAGGAGGUGAAGCACGUUGAGCUAGUGAAGUCUAACUGGCAAAUAUCUUUAAUAAGGUUAAACUAUGGAUGGGCUUUAGGUUGGUUUAAAUAGGCGCCUAUGAAAUCAGUGGCUCGCUGAUAGAGGCUUAGCAAUCUAUUUAAAAAUCAAUUUAUUUCCACAGUAUUGGAGCUGGCUCAGAUUGAACGCCAGAGUGAGAUCCUCCACUUCCAAAUUCUCAGUGGACACCUCUCAUCCCAUUCUGGUGCAAUCGUUCUCUCUCUCUCUUCAUCUCCUCCCCUUUAUCGCUUCUCUCUUCACAAACUCUGGUGAUUUAUAUUCCUCCAAGAGUGUUUGGUAAAAACCCUUUCAGCCUGAAAAAUCCCCAACGGUGUCAAAAUCACAGACUAUACUAGAAAACACAGUUAAGGGCUUUCACUGAGAGUAGGAAAUUAAAUAUUAGACACAAAAGGCAUAAAAUCCAGUAUUUUUUAUCUUGUUUUAUAUAUUGGACACAAAUGGUGUUUGUUUUUGAAGUAAAAAUCAUUUUCUUAAUCAAAUUUUUUUUUUUUUUUUUUGGUAAAAUAUCUUAAUAUCCUUAAAACCACAUAUAUUUACUUGAAGCAAUAUUGCAUAUUUACACUUUGGCAAACUGUCUUGUCUUUUCAGAUUGUUUUAAGAAAAAAAAAUUAACAAAAGAAAUGGGUAGAAAAACAACCUAUAUACAGU